rnacentral:rRNA from 1 species
GACGAACGCUGGCGGCGUGCUUAACACAUGCAAGUCGAACGGAAAGGCCCUGCUUUUGUGGGGUGCUCGAGUGGCGAACGGGUGAGUAACACGUGAGUAACCUGCCCUUGACUUUGGGAUAACUUCAGGAAACUGGGGCUAAUACCGGAUAGGAGCUCCUGCUGCAUGGUGGGGGUUGGAAAGUUUCGGCGGUUGGGGAUGGACUCGCGGCUUAUCAGCUUGUUGGUGGGGUAGUGGCUUACCAAGGCUUUGACGGGUAGCCGGCCUGAGAGGGUGACCGGCGACAUUGGGACUGAGAUACGGCCCAGACUCCUACGGGAGGCAGCAGUGGGGAAUAUUGCACAAUGGGCGGAAGCCUGAUGCAGCAACGCCGCGUGCGGGAUGACGGCCUUCGGGUUGUAAACCGCUUUCGCCUGUGGCGAAGCGUGAGUGACGGUAAUGGGUAAAGAAGCACCGGCUAACUACGUG